GUUUGCCUACGGGAGGCAGCAGUGAGGAGUAUUGGUCAAUGGACGGAAGUCUGAACCAGCCAUGCCGCGUGCAGGAAGACGGCUCUAUGAGUUGUAAACUGCUUUUGUACAAGGGUCACCCUGAAUACGUGUAUUCAGCUGAAAGUACUGUACGAAUAAGGAUCGGCUAACUCCGUGCCAGCAGCCGCGGUAAUACGGAGGAUCCAAGCGUUAUCCGCAUUCAUUGGGUUUAACGGGU
rnacentral:rRNA from 1 species